GCGUGCGUAGCGCAGUGGCUAGCGCGCUCGUUUUAUAAAUUUCGGGCGCGGGUUCGAUUCCCACUAGCGUC